AAGAACGAACGCUGGCGGCAGGCCUAACACAUGCAAGUCGAACGGGACCUUCGGGUCUAGUGGCGGACGGGUGAGUAACGCGUGGGAACGUGCCCUUUGGUUCGGAAUAGCCUCGGGAAACUGGGAGUAAUACCGGAUACGGUCGAGAGACGAAAGAUUUAUCGCCGAAGGAUCGGCCCGCGUUGGAUUAGGUAGUUGGUGGGGUAAAGGCCUACCAAGCCGACGAUCCAUAGCUGGUUUGAGAGGAUGAUCAGCCACACUGGGACUGAGACACGGCCCAGACUCCUACGGGAGGCAGCAGUGGGGGAAUCUUAGACAAUGGGGGAAACCCUGAUCUAGCCAUGCCGCGUGAUCGAUGAAGGCCUUAGGGUUGUAAAGAUCUUUCAGUGGGGAAGAUAAUGACGGUACCCACAGAAGAAGCCCCGGCUAACUCCGUG
rnacentral:rRNA from 1 species